rnacentral:rRNA from 1 species
UACAGAGGGGGCAAGCGUUAUUCGGAAUUAUUGGGCGUAAAGGGCUCGUAGGCGGCCAACUAAGUCAGACGUGAAAUCCCUCGGCUUAACCGGGGAACUGCGUCUGAUACUGGAUGGCUAGAGGUUGGGAGAGGGAUGCGGAAUUCCAGGUGUAGCGGUGAAAUGCGUAGAUAUCUGGAGGAACACCGGUGGCGAAGGCGGCAUCCUGGACCAAUUCUGACGCUGAGGAGCGAAAGCCAGGGGAGCAAACGGG